GCUACAAAGGAAUUAAGUACGGGUGAAUUGACACGCCAGAACAUCUAUUGUAAGAGGUGAAACAAUUUCAUUUGACUCGCCAAAUAAUUUGUCCGUGGGCUGAGGAAAAAUCUUGACCCGCCAAAUGAAGGCCCGAGUCAGGUUGCUAUGGCGACUUACGAAGUUUGGCUACUUAAAAGAGUUGUGUCUCAAGGCGUCAGAGGUAUUUAUCCAAAAAUGGUGAAGUAUGAAGACUACAAACAGUUUUCACAUAGCGAGCGGUAGAUUAUGGAUCUACUGGACAGCUGAAAAUAAAUACGGAAAAUGACCGAAUACGGCAACCUACAACCAAGAUGGGAUAAUACUGUUGUUUUGGUGAAAUACUACUCUAAGUGUGCAAAUCAAGGGCGGACAAAUAAAGGUAUUAGAGACAUUGGUUUUCUCAUCGUCAUUGAUGUCAACUAAUCAAGGA
rnacentral:lncRNA from 1 species